rnacentral:rRNA from 1 species
AGGACGAACGCUGGCGGCGUGCUUAACACAUGCAAGUGGAGCGACGAACCAGGGCUUGCCCUGGGGCAGAGCCGCGAACGGGUGAGUAACACGUGGGUUACCUGCCUUGAUGACCGGGACAACCCGAGGAAACUCGGGCUAAUACCGGAUGUGCCCGCAAGGGGAAAGGAAGCUUCGGCCUCCGCAUCAAGAUGGGCCCGCGGCCCAUUAGCUUGUUGGUGAGGUAACGGCUCACCAAGGCUUCGAUGGGUAGCUGGUCUGAGAGGACGAUCAGCCACACUGGGACUGAGACACGGCCCAGACUCCUACGGGAGGCAGCAGUGGGGAAUCUUGCGCAAUGCGCGAAAGCGUGACGCAGCAACGCCGCGUGGGGGAAGAAGGCUUUCGGGUUGUAAACCCCUUUCAGUUGGGACGAAGCUUCUCCGGUGAAUAGCCGGAUGGAGUGACGGUACCUUCACAAGAGCACCGGCUAACUACGCGCCAGCAGCCGCGGU